rnacentral:lncRNA from 10 species
CGGGCUCCUCGCGCCUGCGCGGCCGGGUCCCCGGGCCCGCCGUGAGGAGAGUGAAGUGGUGGAGAGGGACGCUCGUGCCACCCCGGGUCCUCCUACCGUCUCUAUCAUGGUAACCCCUUCUCUGCCGCUGCACCUCCCAGUGGCCCGAGUCCAGGUGCCUUAGUUACUGGACAGAGACCCCGGGUUCCUUAGUUACUGGACAGAGAGUGCUGCGCUUCAGGUGCCAUGGCCUCAGUUUCCUCCUUUCUGAAGUGAUGAAAAUACAUUGUGCGCCUCCAAGUGCUUCACACGCACUAGGUCCUAGUCCUAACUAGGGCCUCAUGUACAAAAUCACUCUUGGGAUGCUGCUUCCCAUCGAUGGAUUCUGUUUUCCACUCCUCUUGGCAUCUAAGUGUGGCCUUGUGAUUGGUUCUCACCAAUGGGAUGGGAUGGAAGCGAUACAGGCCUCUUCCGAGCCAAUGCUCUUAAGAAACAUGUAUGUUGGCCAGGCACGGUGGCUCACGCCUAUAAUCACAGCACUUUGGGAGGCCGAGACGGGAGGAUCAGCUGAGUCCAGGAGUUCGAGACCAGCCUGGCCAACAUGGCGAAACUCCAUCUCUACUAAAAGUACAAAAAUUAGCCAGGCGUGGUGGGCGCUUAUAAUCCCAGCUACUCCGGAGGCUGAGGCAGGAGAAUUGCUUGAACCUAGGAGGCAAAGGUUGCAGUGAGCCGAGAUCCCACCACUGCACUUCAGUAUGGGCAAAAGAGUGAGACUCCAUCUCAAAAAAAAAAAAGAAACAUCUGCCUGCUUCCUGCUCUUUCAAGGCCCUAAAGAAAGAGGGGAGCCCCAAGAAACCUGGGUCCCUGAAUGACCACCUUGUGGAAAUACAUCCUGUCACCUAACAUCUAUCCUAGAUUGCUACAUGAUCAAGAAAUACACAUCUAACUUGUACACCCAAUGCUCAUAGCAGCAUUAUUCACAAUAGCCAAGAGGUGGAAGCAACCCAGUGUCCAUUGACAGAUGAGCGAAUAAACAAAAUGUGGCACAUAAAUGCAAUGGAAUAGACCAGACGCGGUGGCUCACAUCUGUAAUCCCAGCACUUUGGGAGGCCAAGGCGGGCGAAUCACCUGAGGUCAAGAGUUUGAAACCAGCCUGGCCAACAUAGUGAAACCCUGUCUCUACUAAAAAUACAAAAAAUUAGCCAGGCGUGGUGGCGGGCGCCUGUAGUCCCAGCUACUUGGGAGGCUGAGGCAGGAGAAUCACUUGAACCCAGAGGCGCAGGCUGCAUUGAGCCAAGAUCAUGCC